UUAGGUUAGUGUAAAAGUAAUUGUGGUUUUUGCCAUUGAAAGUAAUGGCAAAAACAGCAAUUAUUUUUGCACCAACCUA
rnacentral:miRNA from 1 species